UUGAUCCUGGCUCAGAACGAACGCUUUCGGCGCGUUUUAAGCAUGCAAGUCGAGCGGCAAGGGUACUUCGGUACCCCUAGAGCGGCGGACGGGUGAGUAACACGUGGAUAACCUGCCCCCGGGUGCGGGAUAGCCCAGGGAAACCUGGAUUAAUACCUCGUAAGACCACGCUCUGUAGGGAGAGUGGGAAAAGGCGCUUCGGCGUCGCCUGGGGAUGGGUCCGCGUCCCAUUAGCUAGAUGGUAGGGUAAGAGCCUACCAUGGCGACGAUGGGUAGCCGGCCUGAGAGGGUGAACGGCCACACUGGAACUGAGACACGGUCCAGACUCCUACGGGAGGCAGCAGUGGGGAAUAUUGCACAAUGGGGGAAACCCUGAUGCAGCAACGCCGCGUGAGCGAUGAAUGCUUUCGAGUCGUAAAGCUCUGUCCUAAGGGAAGAUAAUGACGGUACCUUAGGAGGAAGCCCCGGCUAACUACGUGCCAGCAGCCGCGGUAAUACGUAGGGGGCAAGCGUUAUCCGGAAUUAUUGGGCGUAAAGGGUGCGUAGGCGGCCUUAUGGGUCAGAGGUUAAAUACUACGGCUUAACCGUAGUAUGCCUUUGAAACUAUAGGGCUUGAGUGCAGGAGAGGAGAGUGGAAUUCCUAGUGUAGCGGUGAAAUGCGUAGAUAUUAGGAGGAAUACCAGUGGCGAAGGCGACUCUCUGGACUGCAACUGGCGCUAAGGCACGAAAGCGUGGGUAGCGAACAGGAUUAGAUACCCUGGUAGUCCACGCUGUAAACGAUGAGUGCUAGGUGUUGGGGGUCAAACCUCGGUGCCGCAGUUAACGCAUUAAGCACUCCGCCUGGGGAGUACGUUCGCAAGAAUAAAACUCAAAGGAAUUGACGGGGACCCGCACAAGCAGCGGAGCAUGUGGUUUAAUUCGAAGCAACGCGAAGAACCUUACCUGGAUUUGACAUCCCUCUGACCGUCUCUUAAUCGAGAUUUUCCCUUCGGGGACAGAGGAGACAGGUGGUGCAUGGUUGUCGUCAGCUCGUGUCGUGAGAUGUUGGGUUAAGUCCCGCAACGAGCGCAACCCUUGUCUUUAGUUGCCAUCAAGUAAAGUUGGGCACUCUAAAGAGACUGCCAAGGUAAACUUGGAGGAAGGUGGGGAUGACGUCAAAUCAUCAUGCCCUUUAUGUCCAGGGCUACACACGUGCUACAAUGGCCGAUACAACGGGCAGCUAAGGAGCAAUCCGGAGCAAAUCCUACAAAAUCGGUCCCAGUUCGGAUUGUGGGCUGAAAUUCGCCCACAUGAAGUCGGAGUUGCUAGUAAUCGCGAAUCAGCAUGUCGCGGUGAAUGCGUUCCCGGGUCUUGUACACACCGCCCGUCA
rnacentral:rRNA from 1 species